UACAGAGGGUUCGAGCGGUAAUCGGAUUUACUGCGCGUAAAGCGUGCGUAGGCGGCUUUUUAAGUCGGAUGUGUAAUCCCCGAGCUGAACUUGGGAAUUGCAUUCGAUACUGGGAGGCUAGAGUAUGGGAGAGGAUGGUAGAAUUCCGGGUGUAGCGGUGAAAUGCGUAGAGAUCUGGAGGAAUACCGAUGGCGAAGGCAGCCAUCUGGCCUAAUACUGACGCUGAGGUGCGAAAGCGUGGGUAGCAAACAGG
rnacentral:misc_RNA from 1 species